GACGGAAGGUGCAAGCGUUGCUCGGAAUUACUGGGCGUAAAGGGCGCGUAGGCGGCCUUCUAAGUCAGACGUGAAAUCCCUCGGCUCAACCGGGGAACUGCGUCUGAGACUGGAAGGCUUGAAUCCGGGAGAGGGAUGCGGAAUUCCAGGUGUAGCGGUGAAAUGCGUAGAUAUCUGGAGGAACACCGGUGGCGAAGGCGGCAUCCUGGACCGGCAUUGACGCUGAGGCGCGAAAGCCAGGGGAGCAAACGGG
rnacentral:rRNA from 1 species